ACAAGAAUUCAAGGCAGAGAAUAUGGUCCAUUAGGUGAAUUAAUAACAUAGCUUGGGGUUUAAUAUGAGGGCUAAAAAAAGGUCCAAAGGGAUACAGGUGUCUUCUCCAUCAACAUGUCCAAAAGUUGAGGAAACUACCCCCGGUAUAUCAAACACAAAAUGAAGGAUCCGACCAUAAUCCAAGGUUCAGAUCCACUGUUUCCGUAGAUGGUGUGAGCUACACAUCGUCAAGCACAUUUCAACUUCGUAAGAUUGCCGAGUUGGAUGUUUCAAGAAUUGCAUAUACUGCCAUAACGCA